GACGAACGCUGGCGGCGUGCUUAACACAUGCAAGUCGAACGCAAAGGCCGUGCUUUUGUGGGGUGCUUGAGUGGCGAACGGGUGAGUAACACGUGAGUAACCUGCCUUUUAGUUUGGGAUAACUACAGGAAACUAUAGCUAAUACCGGAUAGGAGCUCCUGCUGCAUGAUGGUGGUUGGAAAGUUUCGGGGGUUUGGGAUGGAGUCGGGGCUUAGCAGCUUGUUGGUGAGGUAGUGGCUUACCCUGGCUUUGACGGGUAGCCGGCCUGAGAGGGUGACCGGCCACAUUGGGACUGAGAUGCGGGCCAGACUGAUACGGGGGGAAGCAGUGGGGAACUGUGCGCGAUGGGCGGAAUCCUGAUGGAGCAACGCCGCGUGCGGGAUGUCGGCCUUCGGGGUGUAAAGCGCUUGCGCCUGUGACGAAGAGUGAGUGACGGUAAUGGGUAAAAAAGCACCGGCUAACUACGUG
rnacentral:rRNA from 1 species